rnacentral:rRNA from 1 species
GACGAACGCUGGCGGUGUGCUUCACACAUGCAAGUCGAACGGGGUAGCAAUACCCAGUGGCGGACGGGUGAGUAACGCGUAGAAAUCUGCCUUGAGAUGGGGGAUAACAGUCCGAAAGGAUUGCUAAUACCGCAUAUGUAUGUAUCCGGACACGGGUGUAUAUGAAAGGAGUAAUCCGUCUUAAGAUGAGUCUGCGUCCGAUUAGCUAGUUGGUAGGGUAAAGGCCUACCAAGGCGACGAUCGGUAGCUGGUCUGAGAGGAUGAUCAGCCACAAUGGGACUGAGACACGGCCCAUACUCCUACGGGAGGCAGCAGUGGGAAUUUGUGCAAUGGGGGAAACCCUGACACAGCGACACCGCGUGAACGAAGAAGC